rnacentral:rRNA from 3 species
CGGGACCUCAGGUCAGGCGGGGCUACCCGCUGAG